rnacentral:misc_RNA from 1 species
CGUAGGAGUGAGCCUGCUCGCGAUAGCGGUGUGUCAGGCAACUAAGAUGUUGACUGACACACCGCUAUCGCGAGCAGGCUCACUCCUACA